UACCCUGUAGAUCCGCGCCGUGAA
rnacentral:miRNA from 1 species